rnacentral:rRNA from 1 species
GAUGAACGCUGGCGGCGUGCCUAAUACAUGCAAGUCGAGCGAACAGAUGAGGAGCUUGCUCCUCUGACGUUAGCGGCGGACGUGUGUGUAACACGUGGAUAACCUACCUAUAAGACUGGGAUAACUUCGGGAAACCGGCGCUAAUACCGGAUAAUAUAUUGAACCGCAUGGUUCAAUAGUGAAAGACGGCUUUGCUGUCACUAAUAGAUGCAUCCCCGCCGCAUUAGAUAGUUGGUAAGGUAACGGCCUACCAAGGCAACGAUGCGUAGCCGACCUGACAGGGUGAUCGGCCACACUGGAACUGAGACGCGGUCCAGACUCCUACGGGAGGCAGCAGUAGGGAAUCUUCCGCAAUGGGCGAAAGCCUGACGGAGCAACGCCGCGUGAGUGAUGAAGGUCUUCGGAUCGUAAAACUCUGUUAUUAGGGAAGAACAAAUGUGUAAGUAACUAUGCACGUCUUGACGGUACCUAAUCAGAAAGCCACGGCUAACUACGUG